rnacentral:tRNA from 1 species
GGUGAUGUAGUAUAGUGGUGAGUACAAUUCGUUGUGGCUUCUGGCACAUCGGCUCCGAAUAGACCCAGGUUCGAUUCCUGGCAUCGCCA